rnacentral:piRNA from 1 species
UGUAUUGAUGCCUAUUUAAGGAGGAGGCCA